AUCGCUUCUCGGCCUUUUGGCUAAGAUCAAGUGUAUAGUUACCAAGGCAAGCAUUUUAUCGUCCUGCUUUUCUUUAUAUUCUUAGGCUUUUUUUUUUUUUGGCCGGGGCUGGGUUUGAACCCACCACCUCCGGCAUAUGGGACCGGCGCCCUACUCCUUGAGCCACAGGCGCCGCCCAUAUUCUUA